rnacentral:rRNA from 1 species
GAAUAACCGUUGGAAACGAUGGCUAAUACCGUAUACGCCUUGAGAGGGAAAGAUUUAUCGCCCUGGGAUAUACCCGCGUUGGAUUAGGUAGUUGGUGAGGUAAGAGCUCA